rnacentral:rRNA from 1 species
AUACGUAGGGGGCAAGCGUUAUCCGGAUUUAUUGGGUUUAAAGGGUGCGUAGGCGGUUUGCUAAGCGGGAGGUGAAAUGCCGGCGCUCAACGUCGGAAGUGCCUCCCGAACUGGUGGACUGGAAUGACUCUGCCGUGGGAGGAAUGUGUAGUGUAGCGGUGAAAUGCUUAGAGAUUACACAGAACACCGAUUGCGAAGGCAUCUCACGAAGGGUUGAUUGACGCUGAGGCACGAAAGCGUGGGGAUCAAACAGGAUUAGAUACCCUGGUAGUCCACGCAGUAAACGAUGAUGGCUAACCGCUGGUUUUUUCGGAUCAGUGGCCAAGCGAAAGCGAUAAGCCAUCCACCUGGGGAGUACGACCGCAAGGUUGAAACUCAAACGAAUUGACGGGG